rnacentral:lncRNA from 1 species
CUAAUGCCGAUAUUAAACCAAUUCUUGUUUUAAAAAACCGACUGUUUCGUUCUGAUCACUUUGGGUGUCAUUUUUGAUGUGCACAUUCUCUGUAAGUACAUUGCUUCACCUAUGAAGCUAUAGGCCCUCAGUUUGUCCCUGAUCACUUUGGGUGUCAUUUCCGAUGUGCACAUUCUCUGAAGUACAUUGCUUCACCUAUGAUGAAGUGGUCACUUUUAAUAACACUGCGUAGGCUGCACCUGUUGUAAUGACUAGCAAUUGUCAUUUUUUGAUGUGCUUUAUUCCUUGCGCUAUCCAAUAUGAAUAGGUGCGUUGCUGACCUUUUUGAAACACAAGGAUUUUACAGAGUAAUAAAUGGCUAAAUGCUUACAAGGAACUGAGCAUAUGAUCUUGU